UCCCCCAGUAGCGGCGAGCGAACGGGGAGCAGCCCAGAGCCUGAAUCAGUAUGUGUGUUAGUGGAAGCGUCUGGAAAGGCGCGCGAUACAGGGUGACAGCCCCGUACACAAAAAUGCACAUGCUGUGAGCUCGAUGAGUAGGGCGGGACACGUGGUAUCCUGUCUGAAUAUGGGGGGACCAUCCUCCAAGGCUAAAUACUCCUGACUGACCGAUAGUGAACCAGUACCGUGAGGGAAAGGCGAAAAGAACCCCGGCGAGGGGAGUGAAAAAGAACCUGAAACCGUGUACGUACAAGCAGUGGGAGCACGCUUAGGCGUGUGACUGCGUACCUUUUGUAUAAUGGGUCAGCGACUUAUAUUCUGUAGCAAGGUUAACCGAAUAGGGGAGCCGAAGGGAAACCGAGUCUUAACUGGGCGUUAAGUUGCAGGGUAUAGACCCGAAACCCGGUGAUCUAGCCAUGGGCAGGUUGAAGGUUGGGUAACACUAACUGGAGGACCGAACCGACUAAUGUUGAAAAAUUAGCGGAUGACUUGUGGCUGGGGGUGAAAGGCCAAUCAAACCGGGAGAUAGCUGGUUCUCCCCGAAAGCUAUUUAGGUAGCGCCUCGUGAAUUCAUCUCCGGGGGUAG
rnacentral:rRNA from 1 species